rnacentral:rRNA from 1 species
CGCUGGCGGCGUGCCUAAUACAUGCAAGUCGAACGGUCUUUCUAUGGAAGCUGCUUCCACUGAGAAGAUAGUGGCGAACGGGUGAGUAACACGUGGGUAACCUGCCCAUAAGAGGGGGGAUAACAUCCGGAAACGGGUGCUAAUACCGCAUAGUUUUCUUGAUCGCAUGAUCGGGAAAGGAAAGACGGCCUUUGUGCUGUCGCUUAUGGAUGGACCCGCGGCGUAUUAGUUAGUUGGUGAGGUAAUGGCUCACCAAGACGAUGAUACGUAGCCGACCUGAGAGGGUGAUCGGCCACAUUGGGACUGAGACACGGCCCAAACUCCUACGGGAGGCAGCAGUAGGGAAUCUUCCGCAAUGGACGAAAGUCUGACGGAGCAACGCCGCGUGAGUGAAGAAGGUUUUCGGGAAUCGUAAAACUCUGUUGUCAGAGAAGAACAAGUUGGAGAGUAACUGCUCCAGCCUUGACGGUAUCUGACCAGAAAGCCACGGCUAACUACGUGCCAGCAGCAGC